CUGGCUCAGGACGAACGCUGGCGGCGUGCCUAAUACAUGCAAGUCGAGCGAACAGAGAAGGAGCUUGCUCCUUCGAUGUUAGCGGCGGACGGGUGAGUAACACGUGGGCAACCUACCUUAUAGUUUGGGAUAACUCCGGGAAACCGGGGCUA
rnacentral:rRNA from 1 species